ACCUGUAUGAGGAUGGAUAUGGAUUGUGUUAACAGCUGGUGUGUAUUCCGGCUGCCGGUGAGGACGAUGUUGGUCUAAGAGCACGUCCCGAGCAGGAGCCUCACUUCGGGGGAUGUGCAGAGCAGACGUUUCCGGUUGCUGUUAUCACCAAAAGAGAGAUGAGUUGCUGCUGGUGAACGCUUCUGAUUCUGUAUUCUGCUG